rnacentral:rRNA from 1 species
UUGGGUUAAGUCCCGCAACGAGCGCAACCCCUAUCUUUAGUUGCCAACAGGUAAUGCUGGGAACUCUAAAGAAACUGCCGCCGUAAGGCGUGAGGAAGGAGGGGAUGAUGUCAAGUCAUCAUGGCCUUUAUGCCCAGGGCUACACACGUGCUACAAUGGUCAGGACAAAGGGCUGCUACCUAGCGAUAGGAUGCUAAUCCCAAAAACCUGAUCUCAGUUCAGAUUGCAGGCUGCAACUCGCCUGCAUGAAGCUGGAAUCGCUAGUAAUCGUAUAUCAGCAAUGAUACGGUGAAUACGUUCCCGGACCUUGCACACACCGCCCGUCAAGCCAUGGGAGUCGGGUGUACCUAAAGUCGGUAACCGUAAGGAGCUGCCUAGGGUAAAAUCGAUGACUGGGGCUA